CCUAUCCCAAAAAAUAAGGAGACCAGGGGUCAGGCGAUAAGUAAGGAAAGCCAAACAGGCAACCCCAGUAGAAAACUGGGGUCUCCCCUGACCGGGUCAUGGGACUGGGCUCAUGAGGGUGACCGUUACUGCUCCAUUUGCAAUUUUCUGAGUAUCAGAGGAGCAAGAUGCUAGGAUGUGUGACCCAAAGGAGCUUGUAGUUCGUCUGUGUGUCUUUUUGUCUCUCUCUCUCUCUCUGUCUGAAAAGACCAAGCCCAAGCCUCCACCCAUUUACCUACUAUGCAGGUCUUUGAAUGGGUAACCAUAUUUCCAAGCUUGUGUCUGAUUGAAGGAUGAAACAUCAAACAUGCAAAAAGGACCAUCUUUCAGAGCAACUCCAGAAGUGACAAAGCAAAUCAGGGCUCCAAGUAAAGCCAGGCCACCUGACAACAGAGCACCAUUCAGCCUCUGAGCUAAAGAAGAAGCUACCACAGGCCCACCACUGACUCUUCUAAGGAAAAGCUGCAUUUUCAAAAGUUCCAGGUUCCCAACUCUGAUUCUUCUCUAUUUCAAAUCAAGGAUAAAAAAAAGGAAGGGAGGGAAGGAAGGAAAGAAAGAAGCAGGAAAGAAGGGAAGGAGAGAAGUGGGAGGGAGGGAAAGAAGGGAGAGAAACAGCGAGAGAGAAGCUGCAGCCAAGCUCUGAAAUGACUCCACUUCUGUCGCUGUGUUUCUCCAGCUGAGAGCUUUCUUGGCCAUCAGUCUGUGCUCCCACUGCCCUCCCAGAAAAUAACUGGGUUUCCUUCCUUGACAGGUUUCUAGCCUGCUUCUACAUUGGCUUCUUUCUCGUUCCUUCCUUCCUUCCCUUCCUUCCUUCUUUCUCUCUCUCUCUUUCUUUUUGAGACAGAGUCUCACUCUGUCGCCCAGGCUGGAGUGCAGUGGCACGAUCUCAGCUCACUGCAACCUCUGCCUCUGAGUUCAAGCGAUUCUCCUGCCUCAGCCUCCCAAGUAGCUGGGACUACAAGCAUGCGCCACCACACCCAGCUAAUUUUUGUAUUUUUAGUAGAAAUGGGGUUUCACUGUGUUGGUCAUGCCGGUCUCAAUCUCCUGACCUUGUGAUCCACCUGCUUCAGCCUCCCAAAGUGCUGGGAUUACAGGCAUGAGCCACCGUGCCCGGCCCAUAUUGGAUUCUUUCUUAGGGUUCUAGAUUUUUUUCUCCCUCCCCCAAAAAUGCCUAUUUUAAAAAUGUGAAUAACACCUACAUAGCGUUUUUCUGCAGAGUCAUGGAGUCAUUCUCCCACUGAGGUCAAGCUGGUUUGGAGUUGGGGAGGGAUCAGACAAAGGUGCAUAGUAAGUUUUGACUCUGAGUUAAAGGAGUCAAGAUGAAUCAGUAAGCCUAGGGCAGUGGUUCCCAAAAUGGGGUCCCUGCCCAGCCGCAUCACAUCACCUGAGAACCUGUUAGAAAUGCAAAACUUCCCCGCCAUCCUGAAUCAGAAACUCUGGGGAGGGAGCCCAGCAAUCCGUGUUCCGGCAAAAGCCCUCCAGGUGAUUCUCAUGCACAUUCAAGUGUCAGAACUACGUGCCACGGGGAAAACCAGAAUGAGAACAGACAGUGAAUGAAAUGUGCAAGUGUUUAUUUAUUUAUCUAUGUACUUAUUUAUUUAUUUAUUUUGAAACGGAGUCUCGCUCUGUCGCCCAGGCUGGAGUGCAGUGGCGCCAUCUCGGCUCACUGCAAGCUCCGCCUCCCGGGUUCAAGAGAUUUUCCUGCCUCAGCCUCCUGAGUUGCUGGGAUUACAGGCGCCCACCACCACGCCCAGCUAAUUUUUGUAUUUUUGGUAGAGACGGGGUUUCACCAUGUUGGCCAGGCUGGUCUCAAACUCCUGACCUCAGGUGAUCCGCCCAUCUUGGCCUCCCAAAGUGCUGGGAUUACAGGCGUGAGCCACCGCGCCUGGCCUAUAUUUGAUUUUUUAACAUGUAACUGAGUCAGUGGGCUUCCCAACAUGUGGGCUGCAGAUAUCAGAGCAGGCUGUGGAGUUACCAUAAGGCCACAGAUUCAUGUCUGAGAACGAGUGUGUGUGUGUGUGUGUGUGUGUGUUUGUUACACACACAUAUACUGAGAUCUUUCAAGUUUAUACAGUUGCUGCUGUAAUUAAUAAGGUAGAAAUUUAUUCUGGGCCUCAGUUUAUCUGUAAAAUGGAGGGGUUAGAUUAGAAUCUAGUGAUUAGAUGAUCUCUGGAAAACUUUCCUGUUCUAAGAAAAUAUUAGUUAAAAUAACUAGGAAAAUUUCCAUCAAUGACACAUGAUUACAGUGUCAUAACUCAUGUCCAUAUUGUCCAACACCCUAAGAGAGUAACAGUUUCUCACACUGGUACAGACGUCUGGGUCCUCACACUGGUACAGACGUCUGGGCUUCACUAAGCACUACUCCCUUGACUUGAUCAGCUCCCAUUUUACAGAUGAAAGCCUGAAACUGGAAAGAUGAAGCAACUUGCCCAAGAACUUAGCGUUACUGAGGGUCACAGUGAGGACCUGACUUCAGGCCCCAAGACCAAAAUUGCCUCUUUACCGCCCUGCCUCUAGAGUAAUAGAGGUGGAGACAUUCUGGGUGUUAGAAGAGUGGAAUCUGGUGCUUACGCUUCGACAGAGCCCACUCUUACUGAAGCAGCCGUAUCUCCAGCCCAUCAAGGAGAUGAGGAUAGCUGCAGUGAGUACCUGCAGGAGAGAGAAGAAUGUUGAGAUGGGGAAAUCGACUUUGCCGGCUGUUUCUAGGUGCUGCCCACAGCUGUUAGAGUGGCUGGCAGCUCACAUGAACGCAGUCCUGUUGACUCUGACUCUGGGGACCCACAUUUGUAUGACGAGCCUGAUCUAACGCUGUGGAUGUUAACUUUCACACCCGACCUGCCUGGUCCCAAGCUAGGCUUCCUGUCUCUUAGAGCUUCUACAGACCCAAGAUCAGCUUGUUAGAAUAAACUUUUCUGCAAGGAAUCAAAACACUCUUCCCAUGCCACCUUCCUGCUCCCCGCCGGGGUCUCUUUGAGAGUUCACGUUCAGGGAACCCCGGACACUUACCAUGAGGCCUCCUCCCCAGAGCCCAGUUCCCAGCAUGGCAUGCCUGCCAAGGAGGCCCCUCAACAGGUAGGUGACAUCCCAGUUAGGAAGGAGGAGUGCCACGUUGGCCCCAGCAGCAAACAGGGCUGCAGUCCCAAGGCUCAGUCCCAGGAUACGGGAGCAAGUCCGUGAGCUUGCCUGCGUGCAGGGAGAGGACACCAUCCUGGAACAGAUAGAAAGGGAGUCGCAGCAGCUCUGCUGUGGGGGGAUGGGGAAGGGAACUCCAGCAGCAUAUCAUGGGUGAGGGAAACAGACUACAGAAACCGCCACCUUCCAGGGUCAGACCAAUGAGAGCCAAGCAACCUGCUUAAAAACUCUGCUCCUUAGGAAUCUUCCCCAGUGACUAGGAUUUAAUUGUUUCCUUUUCUGCUAACCCCUGUUCACACAUACAUAGUUUGCAUUCCAUCAUAUUUUGUUUAUGCCUCUAUUACAGCCAGUGAUUAUUUCUGACAAAAAGAAAUGUUUAAAGGUGUCUUCAUGAUGUCCAUUGUCUCCACUUCUAUUCAACGUUGUACUGGUCCUGGCCAGUGCAAUACGAAAAUAAAAGGAAGCAAAAGCCACACAGAUAGGAAAGAAAGAAGUAAUAUUGUCGGCCAGGCAUGGUGGCUCAGGCCUGUAAUCCCAGCACUUUGGGAGGCUGAGGCAGGCGGAUCACGAGGUCAGGAGUUCAAGACCAGCCUGGCCAACAUGGUGAAACCCCGUCUCUACUAAAAAUACAAAAAUUAGCUGGGCACGGUGGUGGGUGCCUGUAAUCCCAGCUACUGGGGAGACUGAGGCAGGAGAAUUGCUUGAACCCGGGAGGCAGAGGUUGCAGUGAGCUGAGAUCAUGCCACUGCACUCCAGCCUGGGUGACACAGCAAGACUCCAUCUUAAAAAAAAAAAAAAGUAACAUUGUUAUUAUUCACAGAUAAUGUGAUCACAUUAUGUAGAAAAUCCUAAAGUUUAUUAGAAUUAACAGGUGAGUUUAGCAACGUCAUAGAAUAAAAGAUUAAUAUACAAAAAUUAUAUUGUAUUUCUAUAUACAAGCAAUGACAAAUUGAGGAUUGAAAUUAAAAUAUAUCAUUUACAAUAGCAUAAAAAUAUAAUACAUAUGGAUGAAUUUAACAAAAUAUUUGCAAGACCUAUAUAGUAAGAAUUGCAAAGCAUUGCUGAGAAAAUUAAUGGAGACCUAAAUAAAUGGAGACAUAUACCAUGUUCCUGAACCAGAAGACUCAAAAUAGUUAACAUGUUCUCCCUAAAUUGAUGCAAAGAUUUAAAGCAAUAUCAGUCAAAAUCCUAGGAGAGUUUUGUUAUAGAAAUUGACAAACUGAAUCUAAAUUUAUAUGGAAAUGCAAAGCAAUUGUGAAGAUUAGCCAAAGCAAUUCUGAAAAACAAACAAAGCUGGAGAACUUACGCCAUGUGAUUUCAAGACUUACAAAGCUACAGUAAUUGAAGACACUGAAGCCACGCGUAAGGAAACACAUAUGGACUACUGGAACAGGCUGGAGCUCAGAAACAGACCCGGUCCAGGAAAAAUGAUUUUUUUUUUUUCUUGAGACGGAGUCUCGCUCUGUUGCUCAGGCUGGAGUGCAGUGGCGCGAUCUCA
rnacentral:lncRNA from 10 species